AGAGUUUGAUCCUGGCUCAGAAUGAACGCUAGAAAUAUGCAUAACAAAUGCAAGUUGAACGAAUAUAACUAAUUAUAUAAGUAGCGGACGGGUGCGUAAUAUGCAAGAAUUUGCCUUUUAAUUUAGGAUAACUAAGUAAUAUUAGCUAAUACUAAAUAUGUUGUAUUUAAAAACAAUAAAGAUUAUAUCGUUAAAAGAUAAGCUUGUAUAGGAUUAGGUUGUUGGUAAGCUAAGGGCUUACCAAGCCGAUGAUCCUUAGCUAGUUUGGGAGGACGAAUAGCCACACUGAAACUGAGACAAGGUUCAGACUUUUACGGAAGGCAGCAGUGUGGAAUAUUGGACAAUGAGCGAAGCUUGAUCCAGCAAUAUUUCGUGUGUGAUCAGAAGAAUAGGAGACUAUUUGUAAAGCACUAUCAGUAAAGACGAAAUUGACUGUAUUUACAGAAGAAGCUCCGGCAAAUUUCGUGCCAGCAGCCGCGGUAAUACGAAAGGAGCAGGUGUUAUUCAGAUUAACUGGGCGUAAAGGGAAGGGCACGUAGGUGGUGUGUUAUGUGUACUAUUAAAUUGUAAGGCAUAACUUUAUAACGUAGUACAGACAACUAAACUAGAGUUAAGUAGAGAGUAGUAGAAUUUCUANUGUANAGGUGAAAUUUGAUAAAAUUAGAGAGAAUACCAAUGGCGAAGGCAACUACUUGGGCUUCAACUGACACUGAG
rnacentral:rRNA from 1 species